rnacentral:rRNA from 1 species
GACGAACGCUGGCGGCGUGCUUAACACAUGCAAGUCGAACGAAGAGCGAUGGAAGCUUGCCUUUAUCAAUCUUAGUGGCGAACGGGUGAGUAACGCGUAACCAACCUGCCCUUCAGAGGGGGACAACAGUUGGAAACGACUGCUAAUACCGCAUACGAUCUAAUCUCGGCAUCGAGGAUAGAUGAAAGGUGGCCUCUACAUGUAAGCUAUCACUGAAGGCGGGGAUUGCGUCUGAUUAGCUAGUUGGAGGGGUAACGGCCCAACAAGGCGAUGAUCAGUAGCCGGUCUGAGAGGAUGAACGGCCACCUUGAGACUGAGACACGGCCCAGACUCCUACGGGAGGCAGCAGUGGGGAACCUUCCGCAAUGGACGAAAGUCUGACGGAGCAACGCCGCGUGAGUGAUGACGGCCUUCGGGUUGUAAAGCUCUGUUAAUCGGGACGAAAGGCCUUCUUGCGAAUAGUGAGAAGGAUUGACGGUACCGGAAUAGAAAGCCACGGCUAACUACGUG